rnacentral:misc_RNA from 1 species
AUUAUUAUGGUUGCCCAUGUCUGUGCCCGAGAUGUGGUACGGGUGGGUUGCUCAUGGGUGGAAUAUCAAUGAACUCAGUACUGGAAAGCAUGCAUGCCUGAUUGAUCCUUUGUGGGGUUGUGUGGUGUGUGUGGGGUACUGGCUGUGGCUGCAUGGUGUUGUUGCUGGUGAGUACGCAGCAUGAUGAUCCUUUGGGUUGUUGUGGUGUUGGAAAAGCGGUGGUGGUGUUGUGUGGUUUGUAUGGUUUGGCAUGCUGUUGGGUUUUGAGGCAACAAGCCUCCGUCCCUGGUGGAUGAUGUGAUCGGUUGUUGUGGUGCUGGCCCUUGUGGGGUUGGUGUUGUGAUGGUUGGUUGUUUCUCUUCUUGGGUGGCGGGGUUC